ACAGACAAGUGAUGAGCAGUUAACAACGGCACAGAACAGAAGAAGAAAUGGAGCGCUGCGAGCUUCCAGCAAGCUGGGCAGACGUAUGAGUGCAGGUACAGGAGUCCUAUGGGGAGGAUCUUCACCUGUUUGUGGAGUAGAGAAGCAAUCAGCUGUUAAGCUCCGCUUUUUUGAUUGUGAUGUGUCAUUCACAAAUCAAUUGUGAAAAUAACUUUUUUUAAGCAGAGACUGAUUUAGCUUUGCAAGUGCUCCUGCUGUGUGUUACUGGGAGAGCAUAUACUGGUGCCAUAUAGAGGAAAGGCUAAAGGCCCUUGAAGCAUCCCUGUCUCCUUGAGUAGGUUACACUGGCUUCUAAUCACCAGGAAAAGAUACACAGGUUCAAUUAUACCCAGUAUCUAAACUAACUCUUGCUCAUCUGGAACAUCCAGCUGAAGCUGAGGAAAGGUCUUUCAGCUCCUACAGCCUGACCAUACAGAAAGAUCUUUGUUCUUAACAAAUGGGGCUAGAGGGACGCAGCCCCUUUCCAGCCUUCCAGGGGCAGGCUGUAUGUAACAGCAUGGGGCCCUCUGUUCUGCACUCCAAUGUAGACCCUAAAGCAGUGUGGGGGAAGAGAAGGAUGGAGAAACCUUGUUUAAAAAGCUGUCCUUAGGGUAAGAAAAGACACAAGUGGGUGUAACCAUCUGGAAGGAACAGGAGGGGGAGGAUGAAAGAAGUGGUAGGAAGAACAUGUUUUCCUACAGGGCUUGCAUGGAUGUAUCUGAACCCACAAAGCAUCUGAAGAGCCAGGCUCCCUUUUAAUUACACAGCACUCAACCACACCGAGCCCAGACGGUCACGUGGGCUUUGCAGGCCACAACGCUUUAGUGCCAUUUCUCUGCUUCCUCCUGAAGGUGCACACACCAGGACAAGCCUCCCACCAGUUUCAUCCAGGUGUGGCCUGUGGAAGAAGCAGCCAACACUUUCAUGUCAUCUGCCAAGCUCUGCGUGGCCUCUGCCUGCACUUACCCACGGGAAUGUUGCAAAGUGAGACGACUGCCUGACUUCAUGCUUUUCCUGGAACUACAUAGCAUGGGCUCAUCAGCGUGUCACUUAAUUGAUGAAAAUGGAAAAAAUAGUUGCAACCUCUCCACAGACAACAGUGCCCCUGCUUCCCUGCAGCUUUAGGAGGAACUGCAUUUGCUGAACAGUGGCAUCUUGCACCUGGGGUGGAAUAACAUCAUGCAACUGCAUGGGCUGGACACUGACUUGGGAGAAGCAGCUCUGAAGAAAAGAACUUGGGGAUACUGGUGGACAACAACGGAGCAUGAGUCAGCAGGGCACAUGUGCAGUGCUGAAAGCUAAUGGCAUACUGUAUGUAAAUGUAAAUGUAAAAAUACAUUACCUAAUGCAGCA